rnacentral:rRNA from 1 species
UACGGAAGGCAGCAGGGGGAAUAUUGCACAAUGGGCGCAAGCCUGAUGCAGCCAUGCCGCGUGUAUGAAGAAGGCCUUCGGGUUGUAAAGUACUUUCAGUCGUGAGGAAGGUGUUAAGGUUAAUAACCUUAGCAAUUGACGUUAGCGACAGAAGAAGCACCGGCUAACUCCGUGCCAGCAGCCGCGGUAAUACGGAGGGUGCGAGCGUUAAUCGGAAUUACUGGGCGUAAAGGGCACGCAGGCGGUUAAUUAAGUUGGAUGUGAAAUCCCCGGGCUUAACCUGGGAAUGGCAUUCAAGCUGGUUAGCUAGAGUCUUGUAGAGGGGGGUUAGAAUUCCAUGGUGUAGCGGUGAAAUGCGUAGAGAUGUGGAGGAAUACCGGUGGCGAAGGCGGCCCCUGGACAAAGGACUGACGCUCAUGUGCGAAAGCGUGGGGAGCAAAC